UUUGUCGUGGCCGAGCGGUUAAGGCGAUGGACUAGAAAUCUUUUGGGAUCUUCCCGCGCAGGUUCGAAUCCUGCCGACAUCG
rnacentral:tRNA from 1 species